rnacentral:rRNA from 1 species
AUUGAACGCUGGCGGCAGGCCUAACACAUGCAAGUCGAACGAGUGGCGGACGGGUGAGUAAUGUCUGGGAAAGUGCCUGAUGGAGGGGGAUAACUACUGGAAACGGUAGCUAAUACCGCAUACCAUCGGAUGUGCCCAGAUGGGAUUAGCUAGUAGGUGGGGUAAAGGCUCACCUAGGCGACGAUCCCUAGCUGGUCUGAGAGGAUGACCGGCCAAACUGGAACUGAGGCACGGGCCGGACACCUACGGGACGCAGACGUGGGGACUAUGGGACAAUGGGCGCAAGCCGGAUGCAGCCAUUCCGGGUGUAUGAAGAAGGCCUUCGAGUUGGAAAGUACUUUCAGCGCGGAGGCGGUUCCCGCAGCAGAAGCACCUGCUAACUCCGUGACAGCAGCCGCGGUAAUUC